GCCCGCGUGGUGAAAUUGGUAGACGCGUUCGACUCAAAAUCGAAUGCCGCAAGGCGUGGGGGUUCAAGUCCCUCCGCGGGCA
rnacentral:tRNA from 1 species